AUGGUUCCUUCUGCUCAUUUUCAGUGUCCUAAACUUAAUCCUGGUUUAAUCAUCUUCCGUGAGACAAAUCAAAGGAUGAAGCCCUGUUCUUUCUUUUCUUACACAGGAUGGAGCACAGCCCAAAUAAUCACUCAGAGCCCACCAGCAGUUUCCAUUCAGGAGAUAGGAGCUGUGACCCUGGAGUGUGUGUAUACUUUUGGUGCAGCAAAUUAUGACAUUUACUGGUACAAACAAUCUCCCAGUGGGGAGGUUAUUUACAUCCUUCAUCAGAAUUCUCUAUCCAGUGAUGUAAAAUAUAAAGGUCGAUAUUCCCUGACCUUCCACAAAGAAGCCAGAUCUGUCAACUUCACUAUCUUGUCCUCACGGCUGAAAGACUCAGGGAUGUAUUUCUGUGGCCUCCGCAAGCCCACAAUGAUUUAA